GGCAGCAGUGGGGAAUAUUGGACAAUGGGCGGAAGCCUGAUCCAGCCAUGCCGCGUGUGUGAAGAAGGCCUUUUGGUUGUAAAGCACUUUAAGCGAGGAGGAGGCUACUUGGAUUAAUACUCUAGGAUAGUGGACGUUACUCGCAGAAUAAGCACCGGCUAACUCUGUGCCAGCAGCCGCGGUAAUACAGAGGGUGCGAGCGUUAAUCGGAUUUACUGGGCGUAAAGCGUGCGUAGGCGGCUUCUUAAGUCGGAUGUGAAAUCCCUGAGCUUAACUUAGGAAUUGCAUUCGAUACUGGGAAGCUAGAGUAUGGGAGAGGAUGGUAGAAUUCCAGGUGUAGCGGUGAAAUGCGUAGAGAUCUGGAGGAAUACCGAUGGCGAAGGCAGCCAUCUGGCCUAAUACUGACGCUGAGGUACGAAAGCAUGGGGAGCAAACAGGAUUAGAUACCCUGGUAGUCCAUGCCGUAAACGAUGUCUACUAGCCGUUGGGGCCUUUGAGGCUUUAGUGGCGCAGCUAACGCGAUAAGUAGACC
rnacentral:rRNA from 1 species